rnacentral:rRNA from 1 species
UACGGAGGGUGCGAGCGUUGUCCGGAAUCACUGGGCGUAAAGGGCGCGUAGGCGGCCUGGCAAGUCGAUGGUGAAAGCCCGAGGCUCAACUUCGGGUCGGCCACUGAUACUGCUGGGCUUGAGUCGACUAGAGGCAGAUGGAAUUCCGGGUGUAGCGGUGGAAUGCGUAGAGAUCCGGAAGAACACCGGUGGCGAAGGCAGCUCGCUGGGACGUUACUGACACUGAGGCGCGAAAGCGUGGGGAGCGAACAGG